rnacentral:rRNA from 1 species
UAGGGAAUCUUCCGCAAUGGACGAAAGUCUGACGGAGCAACGCCGCGUGAGUGAUGAAGGCUUUCGGGUCGUAAAACUCUGUUGUUAGGGAAGAACAAGUACGAGAGUAACUGCUCGUACCUUGACGGUACCUAACCAGAAAGCCACGGCUAACUACGUGCCAGCAGCCGCGGUAAUACGUAGGUGGCAAGCGUUAUCCGGAAUUAUUGGGCGUAAAGCGCGCGCAGGCGGUUUCUUAAGUCUGAUGUGAAAGCCCACGGCUCAACCGUGGAGGGUCAUUGGAAACUGGGGAACUUGAGUGCAGAAGAGAAGAGCGGAAUUCCACGUGUGACGGUGAAAUGCGUAGAGAUGUGGAGGAACACCAGUGGCGAAGGCGGCUUUUUGGUCUGUAACUGACGCUGAGGCGCGAAAGCGUGGGGAGCAAACAGG